rnacentral:RNase_P_RNA from 1 species
GAAGCUGACCAGACAGUCGCCGCUUCGUCGUCGUCCUUUCGGGGAGACGGGCGGAGGGGAGGAAAGUCCGGGCUCCAUAGGGCAGGGUGCCAGGUAACGCCUGGGGGGGAAACCCACGACCAGUGCAACAGAGAGCAAACCGCCGAUGGCCCACGUAAGUGGGAUCUGGUAAGGGUGAAAGGGUGCGGUAAGAGCGCACCGCGCGGCUGGUAACAGUCCGUGGCACGGUAAACUCCACCCGGAGCAAGGCCAAAUAGGGGUUCAUAAGGUACGGCCCGUACUGAACCCGGGUAGGCUGCUUGAGCCAGUGAGCGAUUGCUGGCCUAGAUGAAUGACUGUCCACGACAGAACCCGGCUUAUCGGUCAGUUUCACCU